AACAUCCCCGGGCAGACGCCAGCCUCCGCUGGCCCUAAUGCUGGCCCACUUCCUGUGGUGGUGAGUCCUAUCUCACGCGCACUGCCUCGUCAGCUGUUAUGUUGUAGCCUGUCAACAGCCAGAUGUAAUUCAUGAUGCUUUAUCUUUAAGUUUCCUACAUGUGGCAUUUUAUCAAGGUGACCAUUUGAGGCCAAAGCCAUUCGUCAAAAUGAGACCUUGAGUUUUUUUCUACUUGAUUGUAUUCUACUGUUGUUUUUUUAGUGUGAGGCGAACACCAUUAAGAACAGCAGUUCCUCAGACCCCACACAACAAGAUGUGCCUGAUAAAUCCAGUGGAAACCCUCUGACGGAGCAGGAAAGUGAAGCAACGCCAACCAAAGUUGUCUGCAGUCCAGAGAAGAUUACAGAAGAGAUCAAAGCCAAGAUUGAAGAAGAAGCGUAUAACAAAGGAUACCAGGAAGGACUUAAGAGGUCUAAAGAACUUCAAGAGCUGAAGGAGGAGGAAGAGAAUGCGGAAGAGAAGCCGAAGGACUCUGAGGAGGAAGCAAGAGGAAAUACUGAUAAAGACAGGAAGACUAAUAGCAGGUUCGAGGAGGCAUUAGAGGUCUUUGACCGGAUAUUCCCAAAAUUCUUCCGAGGAAAUCGAGUGCUCUGGAUCGUCCUCACUCUGUUUUUCGCUUCAUUCAUUCUUGUCAAUGUCAUAAGCUUCUUCAGUAACCGCUACAGUGAGAGCGGAGACACGUCUGCAGAGAAGUCCGCUGUCCCAGGCAAGAAGUUUUUUGGACUGAAUGUAGGGUCGAAGACUCCUGCCCCAGAAUGACAUUAUUUUCUUCCAUCACAGAGAGACAGAUCAAGGGAAUUCUGCUGGCAAUUUCCUUACCAAACACAGCUCAUAUUGUUUCUACCAGUCUUUCACACUGCAUUUAGUAAAUAGCAGAACUACUUGUUAUUGUUUAGGGACCAAGUGUAAUUAGAUGAGCAAUCAGAUUUGCUUUAUUAACUAAAUUGAUAAGUUAUAAUACUUGAGGUUGUGAUUUCUUGAAAUCCGUUUUCUUAAGACUGUCACGUUUGAUAUAUGAUUAUAC
rnacentral:lncRNA from 1 species